GCCGAAUGGGAUGUGAGAAAAUGGAAGAAUGAGAUAGACAAAGAAGUGAAAUGUGUGGGACUGAAUGAAUGGAAGAAUGAGAUGGAAAGAAAGAAGACCCUGGAAUGGUACAAGGAGAAAGAGGCCCCGAGGUAUGAAAGGUGGUAUGAUGGAAGCCUGGGCGGUGAUCUUCUCUUCCGAGCGAGGGCACAGUGUAUGGAUGUGAAUGCAAGGAGUUACAGGUGGUCUGAGUCCCGCAGCAAAGUGUGCCAGAUGUGUGACAUGGGAGAGGAUGAGACGGUGGAACAUGUGGUGCUGGAGUGUGUGCAGUAUGCCAGAGACAGGAAUGAGAUGAUGCAAGUGAUACUGACUGAGUUAGGGCAUGAUAGGAAUGAAAGAGUGGAGAAGACAGGAAAGGAAUGGAUGGUGUUGUUGCUGGGACUGGGUAGAGAGGCCAAUGAAAGGAUGAUUGAGGCGGUGAAAGAGUUUCUGGAGAGAAUGUGGCGUGCCAGGUGUAUGAACAAUUAGGAUAGAGGAUGCUGUUCGUUUCUCUUUUUUUUUUUCCCCCUUUCUACAGGAGUUGCCGAUCCAAAGGCCUGGCUCAGAAGUGAUCCUGUGCCACCUGUACCAUCAAGAUCAAGAUCAAGAUGUUGCCUUGUUUACCUUUGUCACAGUGGUCCUCCUCCUGCUGUCCGUGUGUCUGUGUGUGUGUGUCUUUUGAAGGCACCUCUCAGGUCGCUGCUGUCUCCUCUGCCUGUAGCAGAAUAGGAGAGCAUCUAGCUCUCGUUCCCACAGUCAACAACGGCCCACCCUUGAGAGGAGUUGGACGUAUGGUCAGGAGGCAGACACAUGGAAGAGACUGGGUGGCAGGGAAGUGAAAUGUGUGGGACUGAAUGAAUGGAAGAAUGAGAUAGAAAGAAAGAAGACCUUGGAAUGGUACAAGGAGAAAGAGGCCCCGAGGUAUGAAAGGUGGUAUGAUGGAAGCCUGGGCGGUGAUCUUCUCUUCCGAGCGAGGGCACAGUGUAUGGAUGUGAAUGCAAGGAGUUACAGGUGGUCUGAGUCCAGCAGCAAAGUGUGCCAGAUGUGUGACAUGGGAGAGGAUGAGACGGUGGAACAUGUGGUGCUGGAGUGUGUGAAGUAUGCCAGAGACAGGAAUGAGAUGAUGCAAGUGAUACUGACUGAGUUAGGGCAUGAUAGGAAUGAAAGAGUGGAGAAGACAGGAAAGGAAUGGAUGGUGUUGUUGCUGGGACUGUGUAGAGAGGCGAAUGAAAGGAUGAUUGAGGCGGUGAAAGAGUUUCUGGAGAGAAUGUGGCGUGCCAGGUGUAUGAACAAUUAGGAUAGAGGAUGCUGUUCGUUUCUCUUUUUUUCCCCUUUCUACAGGAGUUGCCGAUCCAAAGGCCUGGCUCAGGAGUAAUCCUGUGCCACCUGCACCAUCAAGAUCAAGAUCGAGAGAGAGAGAAAAAGAGAGGCCAUGUUUGAGCUAGUUCACUUAUCUGUGGUUCCUCUCCCCCUCUCUCUCUCUAAUUAGAGCGAAAAUGGCAGCGGAGGAGCUCAAGGAUGAAGCCAACGACUAUUUGAAAAAAUUAAGAAAAUUGAAGCCUUCUCUCAGACAUGAACAAAGAAGAGCAAUUCUUGACAAACAAACAAACAAACAAGGACAGCGUUGAGUCUCGCAGGUCACGCCAGCCUCUCGGAAACUGUUGCUUGCUUCACCUGGCAAUUGUGAACCACCAAGCAAAAACUGAGCCACCCUAUUGAUCGACAGGGGAUCACCAUCAGCUCUCCCAUUGGCCCAGAGCUUCGUGGAUUGUGAUUGGACGGCUGGCUGGCUGACCUGACUUGACCUGACCUCAACUGAGCCAACAUGAUUUACGUUUUCCUCGUUGACACUGGCACCAUGAUGACCUUUGACAUGAACCUGGCACUAGAGAGUGUUGAGGUGGUGAAGGGUGCAAUACACAAUGUUGUCAAGGUGCCCCCAGACAAGCAGGCACAGGUGGAGGGGUGCCUCAACAUGCCAGCCACCUACAACAGUGUGGUGGCGCGGACACAGUUAGCACAGCAGUUUUACGAGCACGCCAGUGAGGUCACCAGAACGUGCCGCCAGCUUGUUCACAACCAGCAUCUGCAGCAACAAGGCUGGGCAGUAGUGUUGGGCAACUUGGAAGACGUUGUGGCAGCCUUCAGAGCAAGACAUGAUGCAUUCCAGCAAAACUUUGUAAUCUCAGUGGCUGGGAGGAGAAGGUCGCCCUGCUUCACUUUUUUGAAGAGGACCUGAAGCUACUGGCAAGGAUUCCAGUCUUCCCUGAACUCUUGGGGAAGACACAAGAGGAAGAGGAAGAGGAGGAAGCUGGGAAGAAGAGGAGGACAAGCACAGCACAGAAGAAAGAGGAGGAGGAAAAGAAGGAAGAGGAGGAGGAGGAGGAGGAAGAAGAGGAAGAGCAUGAGAAGGAGAAGAGGGCAGGAGGAGAAGGAGAAAAAAGAGAAAUGAGUUAAGUGUCACUGCUGGACUGGAUCAGCGCCAAGGACAGCCAAAGUGAUGUCAGACAUUGCCCAACUCUGCUGCAGAGGACUGGCCCAGCUGUGUGUGUGUGUGUGUGUGUGUGUGUGUGUGUGUGUGUGUGUGUGUGCACCAGGAUGUCAGGUAUUCACACCCAAUUCUUGCUGCAUAAUUGUGUUUCUGCAGGAUUGAAUCAAGUUUGUAAUCUUGCAUUGUUUAACAAGUUGAGUUCUCAAAUUUUUUUUUAAUCUGGCUCCCCCUCCCCCUGUGUUAGAAUAUUGCACGUUUCCAAGGCCACAGGGACGCUUAGACGGGUUCUCAAGUGUUUCCUGUCACUAAUGCAGAAAUGUUGUUAAUCUGUCACUGCAACUGUAAAAACACCCUUGAAAAUCCGCGUCACUUCAACUAAAGCCUUUUAAAAGAACGUUUUUCCUGUCAGCACUGCAGAAAUGUUGUUAAUCUGUCACUGCAACUGUAAAAACACCCUUGAAAACCCGCGUCACUUCAACUAAAGCCUUUUAAAAGAGUGUUUCUCCAGUCAGUACUGCAGAAAUGUUGUUAAUCUGUCACUGCAACUGUAAAAACACCCUUGAAAACCUGCAUCACUUCAACUACAGCCUUUUAAAAGUGUUUCUCCUGUCAGUAAUGCAAAAAUGUUAAUAUAUCACUGCAACUGUAAAAACACUCUUGAAAACCCACGUCACUUUAACUAGAGCCUUUUAAAACAAUGUUUCUCCUGUCAGUAAUGCAGAAAUGUUGUUAAUCUGUCACUGCAACUGUAAAAACACCCUUGAAAACCUGCAUUAUUUCAGCUACAGCCUUUUAAGAGUGUUUCUCCUGUGAGUAAUGCAGAAAUGUUGAUCUGUCACUGUAACCGUAAAAACACCCUUGAAAACCCACAUCACUUCAACUCCAGCCAUUUAAAAGAAUGUUUCCCCUGUCAGUAAUGCAGAAAUGUUGUUAAUCUGUCACUACAACUGUAAAAACACCCUUGAAAACCCACUUGACUUGAACUAAACACACACACACAAACACACAGCACUAGUACUGCUGUUGCCACACAGAUCAGUGAGGGGCUGCUGGAACAAGUGGGGCAAGAGGUCAGUGCUGUGCUUCAAGAGGCAGACCAGCCACAGAUGAAUGCUUGACUCACCAUACUCAUCAUCAACCUGUGUCCUGUACUUUGUGUAUAAUAUCUUUGAGUCUUGAAUCUAAUACACUCCUCACUGUUCACUUGUACAUGUUGAGCCUCACUACAUUCACGCAGGUCGGAACAAAAUUAAGUUUGUCCAUUUUGUGUGUCCAUUCUUUAUUAUGGCCAUUGUACAAGAUGCAGCGUUUGUGUAUGUUAUGCUGUGUGUGUGUGUGUGUGUGUGUGUGUGUGUGUGUGUGUGUGUUUGUGAGGGGCUCACUUAUUGGUGAGGGGCUGUGGGGAGUCACUGGGUUUGUAAACAUACUGUGGGGGGACAUACUGUGGCGCUGUGGCCUGAGGUGAGGUGAGGUGAGAGAGAGAGAGAGAGAGAGAGAGAGAGAGAGAGAGAGAGAGAGAGAGAGAGAGAGAGAGAGAGAGAGAGGGGGGGGGGGGGCAGCAUGAGUGAAACAAAGCAGAUGUUGUUGAUUGUUGAUGAUGCAGGGGAGAGGUGUUGUUGUUAUUCAGUGUUCUUCAUUGCACGAGAUGUUGUUGUUGUUGUUGUUGUUGUUGUUGUUGUUAUUGACUGGCAACCAAGCCUGGCUGGCGUGGGCCUUGUCAUGUGGCCCACAGGUAAUUCUUAGUGGUCAGUCUAUCGGUGAGUACAGCUGAGCGCUGCCUGAUUGCACGAGAGGUAUUGUUCAUAGUUGUUCAUUGUAGGUGAGGGAAGACACAGUAUGUUGAGGGAAGGCAGCAGCUGUGGAGGAGUGAACAGCUGCACCACUGACAGCAGCAGCAGCAGCAGCAGCAGCAGCAGCAGCAGCAGCACUGCUGAAUACUACUACUGCCACUACUAAGUACUGCUGAUGUUUUUCUCCUCCUCCCAGCACAGCAGCAGACUCGGGUACUGUUACAGCUCUGCUCCUUCCUACAGGACACGUUCCCAUCACCUUCACGUCCUGGACACGUGCACAAACUUGUGCCUGGGCAGUCUCACUGCAGCAACUGCCAGUGCUGUGGCUGGGUGGCAGGAGGCAGGGACAAGCUGGCCACCCUCUCUGUCACUACCUGCUGGGGAAAGACCACCAUUAUCAUCAUCAUCUUGGUUUUCCUUUUUUGUUUUCUUUCACAAUUUACAAGGAAUAUUAACAGUUUGUUUUGUUAGUGUUGUCUGUUUGUUAUUAAAUGAUGUGUUGAUUGUGUUGUUGUUGUUUAUGUGUUAGUUGUUGUUGUGUUUUGUAUGUGUGACUGAUGAAUAAAAUAAAGGCAGUCGUGUCACACU